rnacentral:rRNA from 1 species
GACGAACGCUGGCGGCGUGCUUAACACAUGCAAGUCGAACGGAAAGGCCCUGCUUUUGUGGGGUGCUCGAGUGGCGAACGGGUGAGUAACACGUGAGUAACCUGCCCUUGACUUUGGGAUAACUUCAGGAAACUGGGGCUAAUACCGGAUAGGAGCUCCUGCUGCAUGGUGGGGGUUGGAAAGUUUCGGCGGUUGGGGAUGGACUCGCGGCUUAUCAGCUUGUUGGUGGGGUAGUGGCUUACCAAGGCUUUGACGGGUAGCCGGCCUGAGAGGGUGACCGGCCACAUUGGGACUGAGAUACGGCCCAGACUCCUACGGGAGGCAGCAGUGGGGAAUAUUGCACAAUGGGCGGAAGCCUGAUGCAGCAACGCCGCGUGCGGGAUGACGGCCUUCGGGUUGUAAACCGCUUUCGCCUGUGACGAAGCGUGAGUGACGGUAAUGGGUAAAGAAGCACCGGCUAACUACGUGCCAGCAGCCGCGGUGAUACGUAGGGUGCGAGCGUUGUCCGGAUUUAUUGGGCGUAAAGGGCUCGUAGGUGGUUGAUCGCGUCGGAAGUGUAAUCUUGGGGCUUAACCCUGAGCGUGCUUUCGAUACGGGUUGACUUGAGGAAGGUAGGGGAGAAUGGAAUUCCUGGUGGAGCGGUGGAAUGCGCAGAUAUCAGGAGGAACACCAGUGGCGAAGGCGGUUCUCUGGGCCUUUCCUGACGCUGAGGAGCGAAAGCGUGGGGAGCGAACAGGCUUAGAUACCCUGGUAGUCCACGCUGUAAACGGUGGGUACUAGGUGUGGGGUCCAUUCCACGGGUUCCGUGCCGUAGCUAACGCUUUAAGUACCCCGCCUGGGGAGUACGGCCGCAAGGCUAAAACUCAAAGGAAUUGACGGGGCCCCGCACAAGCGGCGGAGCAUGCGGAUUAAUUCGAUGCAACGCGUAGAACCUUACCUGGGUUUGACAUGGAUCGGGAGCGCUCAGAGAUGGGUGUGCCUCUUUUGGGGUCGGUUCACAGGUGGUGCAUGGCUGUCGUCAGCUCGUGUCGUGAGAUGUUGGGUUAAGUCCCGCAACGAGCGCAACCCUUGUUCACUGUUGCCAGCACGUUAUGGUGGGGACUCAGUGGAGACCGCCGGGGUCAACUCGGAGGAAGGUGGGGAUGACGUCAAGUCAUCAUGCCCCUUAUGUCCAGGGCUUCACGCAUGCUACAAUGGCUGGUACAGAGAGUGGCGAGCCUGUGAGGGUGAGCGAAUCUCGGAAAGCCGGUCUCAGUUCGGAUUGGGGUCUGCAACUCGACCUCAUGAAGUCGGAGUCGCUAGUAAUCACAGAUCAGCAACGCUGCGGUGAAUACGUUCCCGGG